rnacentral:rRNA from 1 species
GGAAGAAGGUCUUCGGAUUGUAAACUCCUGUUGUUGAGGAAGAUAAUGACGGUACUCAACAAGGAAGUGACGGCUAACUACGUGCCAGCAGCCGCGGUAAAACGUAGGUCACAAGCGUUGUCCGGAAUUACUGGGUGUAAAGGGAGCGCAGGCGGGAAGACAAGUUGGAAGUGAAAUCUAUGGGCUCAACCCAUAAACUGCUUUCAAAACUGUUUUUCUUGAGUAGUGCAGAGGUAGGCGGAAUUCCCGAUGUAGUGGUGGAAUGCGUAGAUAUCGGGAGGAACACCAGUGGCGAAGGCGGCCUACUGGGCACCAACUGACGCUGAGGCUCGAAAGUGUGGGUAGCAAACAGGAUUAGAUACCCUGGUAGUCCACACCGUAAACGAUGAUUACUAGGUGUUGGAGGAUUGACCCCUUCAGUGCUGCAGUUAACACAAUAAGUAAUCCACCUGGGGAGUACGACCGCAAGGUUGCAACUCAAAGGAAUUGAAGGA